GCAGCCGCCGACCAAAGAAGAUGGAGAGCGUCGCUUCUUUUGAAGAAAUUUGAGACAGAGAGACCACCGGGGAUGACAAUGGCUACAGCGAAUAUUUGAGCUAUGCAACCCGCUCAACAUGUAUGCUCAAAUGGUGGUCGGCGAAAAAAAGAGGCCAGCAACCGCGGAGAAAAAUCAAGAUUGGAGACCAUUUGAGGAGAAUAUUGUUGACAAUGCGGCACGGGAGAAUGGCCGGUGAGCCCCCGACAAUGAUCGUCGCAACUAAUGUUCCAUUUUGGGGUGGAAACAACAAAAGCAGCAGUGGAGAAGAGCGGCGUCGAAUGCCACAAGAGACGAGCGAGCUGGGAAGAUUUAGCCUCAGGGCGCGUUUCAAAUGCCAAGCCAGAGAAUUUUCAACGCUACAGAAUAGCUCAUUAAGCUUUAAAAGCGCUCUUCAGACCACAAAACGGUCUUAAUGACAAAAAUUCAGCUGUGUUAUGUGACUUAAUUCUCUAUACGGGCUCUAACAAAUGUCUUGCUGGUUAAUUUAAGCAUUACUGUUAUAUUGUAGUGGUGGUAAAUUGUCAAUCAUGUUUUACAUGUUUUAAAAAUAAUUUUUUUAAAUUAUCUGCUGUUCACUCGGAAUAACUUUAAAUUACAAUGUAAACUGAUAUAAUAAAACUUACCUGUAUCACAUGGAGGAAUUUGAAGUAUCCAAAUGGCUUAUCUGAAACAAAAAUAUUAAUUAAAAAUAAAUUGUAUUUACACAUUGAUUUGUUUGUGGAAAUAUGCCUCAUGCUAUACACAAAUUUUGAGGACAAUGAUGGUGAAUUUAUCAUAUAAAUAGU